rnacentral:tRNA from 2 species
CGGGAUAUAGCGCAGUCUGGUAGCGCGCCUGCUUUGGGUGCAGGAUGUCGGGAGUUCGAAUCUCUCUAUCCCGACCA